UACAGAGGUCCCAAGCGUUGUUCGGAUUCAUUGGGCGUAAAGGGUGUGUAGGUGGCGCCGUAAGUCGGGUGUGAAAUCGUCGGGGCUUAACUCCGAAACUGCAUUCGAUACUGCCGGUGCUUGAGGACUGGAGAGGAGACUGGAAUUGACGGUGAGCAGGUGAAAUGCGUAGAGUAUCGAUGAGGAAGACCAGUGGCGAAGGCGGGUCUCUGGA
rnacentral:rRNA from 1 species